UACGGGGGGAGCAAGCGUUGUUCGGAUUUACUGGGCGUAAAGGGCGCGUAGGCGGUCAGCACAAGUCAGUUGUGAAAUCUCCGGGCUUAACUCGGAAAGGUCAACUGAUACUGUGCGACUAGAGUGCGGAAGGGGCAACUGGAAUUCUUGGUGUAGCGGUGAAAUGCGUAGAUAUCAAGAGGAACACCUGCGGCGAAGGCGGGUUGCUGGGCCGACACUGACGCUGAGGCGCGAAAGCCGGGGGGAGCAAACAGG
rnacentral:rRNA from 1 species